rnacentral:rRNA from 1 species
UCCUACGGGAGGCAGCAGUGGGGAAUAUUGCACAAUGGGCGCAAGCCUGAUGCAGCAACGCCGCGUGAGGGACGAAGGCCUCCGGGUUGUAAACCUCUUUUAGUAGGGAAGAAGCGACUGGGUUUUCCUGGGAGUGACGGUACCUGCAGAAAAAGCACCGGCUAACUACGUGCCAGCAGCCGCGGUAAUACGUAGGGUGCAAGCGUUGUCCGGAAUUAUUGGGCGUAAAGAGCUCGUAGGCGGUUUGUCGCGUCUGCUGUGAAAACCCGAGGCUCAACCUCGGGCCUGCAGUGGGUACGGGCAGACUAGAGUGCGGUAGGGGAGAUUGGAAUUCCUGGUGUAGCGGUGGAAUGCGCAGAUAUCAGGAGGAACACCAAUGGCGAAGGCAGAUCUCUGGGCCGUAACUGACGCUGAGGAGCGAAAGCAUGGGGAGCGAACAGGAUUAGAUACCCUGGUAGUCCAUGCCGUAAACGUUGGGAACUAGAUGUGGGGACCAUUCCACGGUCUCCGUGUUGCAGCUAACGCAUUAUGUUCCCCGCCUGGGGAGUACGGCCGCAAGGCUAAAACUCAAAGGAAUUGACGGGGGCCCGUACAAGCGGCGGAGCAUGCGGAUUAAUUCGAUGCAACGCGAAGAACCUUACCAAGGCUUGACAUAUACCGGAAACGGCUGGAAGCAGUCGCCCCGCGAGGUCGGUAUACAGGUGGUGCAUGGUUGUCGUCAGCUCGUGUCGUGAGAUGUUGGGUUAAGUCCCGCAACGAGCGCAACCCUUGUCCUAUGUUGCCAGCACGUAAUGGUGGGAACUCAUGGGAUACUGCCGGGGUCAACUCGGAGGAAGGUGGGGAUGACGUCGAAUCAUCAUGCCCCUUAUGUCUUGGGCUUCACGCAUGCUACAAUGGCCGGUACAAAGGGCUGCGAUACCGCAAGGUGGAGCGAAUCCCAGAAAGCCGGUCUCAGUUCGGAUUGAGGUCUGCAACUCGACCUCAUGAAGUCGGAGUCGCUAGUAAUCGCAGAUCAGCAACGCUGCGGUGAAUACGUUCCCGGGCCUUGUACACACCGC